rnacentral:rRNA from 1 species
GAACGCUGGCGGCGUGCCUAACACAUGCAAGUCGAGCGGGGUUGAAGCGAGGGGUAACUCGAGUUUCUACCUAGCGGCGGACGGGUGAGUAACGCGUGGGCAACCUGCCUCAAGGACUGGGAUAACAGCUCGAAAGGGCUGCUAAUACCGGAUAAGCCUAUGGUCUCGCAUGGGGCCAUGAGCAAAGGGGAAACCCGCCUUGAGAUGGGCCCGCGUCCCAUCAGCUAGUUGGUGAGGUGAAGGCUCACCAAGGCGACGACGGGUAGCCGGCCUGAGAGGGUGACCGGCCACACUGGGACUGAGACACGGCCCAGACUCCUACGGGGGGCAGCAGUGGGGAAUCUUGCACAAUGGGCGAAAGCCUGAUGCAGCGACGCCGCGUGAGCGAAGAAGGCCUUCGGGUUGUAAAGCUCUGUCUGGAGGGACGAAGGAAGUGACGGUACCUCCGGAGGAAGCCACGGCUAACUACGUG